UGGCGGACGGGAGAGUAAUGUCUGGGAAACUGCCUGAUGGAGGGGGAUAACUACUGGAAACGGUAGCUAAUACCGCAUAACGUCGCAAGACCAAAGAGGGGGACCUUCGGGCCUCUUGCCAUCGGAUGUGCCCAGAUGGGAUUAGCUAGUAGGUGGGGUAAAGGCUCACCUAGGCGACGAUCCCUAGCUGGUCUGAGAGGAUGACCAGCCACACUGGAACUGAGACACGGUCCAGACUCCUACGGGAGGCAGCAUG
rnacentral:rRNA from 1 species